UUCCCCUUAGUAACUGCGAGUGAAGAGGGAAAAGCUCAAAUUUGAAAUCUGGCAGUUGUUGACUGUCCGAGUUGUAACCUAGAGAAGUGUAACCUGUGCUGGACCGUGUACAAGUCUCCUGGAAUGGAGCGUCGGAGAGGGUGAGAAUCCCGUCUUUGACAUGGAUUACCAGUGCAUUGUGGUUGUGCUCUCAACGAGUCGAGUUGUUUGGGAAUGCAGCUCUAAAUGGGUGGUAAAUUCCAUCUAAAGCUAAAUAUUGGCGAGAGACCGAUAGCGAACAAGUACCGUGAGGGAAAGAUGAAAAGAACUUUGGAAAGAGAGUUAAACAGUAUGUGAAAUUGUUGAAAGGGAAACAUUUGAAGCCAGAGAAGUUGGCUGGGGAUCAGAUUGGCAAAAGUUGCUAGUUGUAAUUCCUAGUUGACAGGCCAGCAUCAGUUUUGAUCAGCAGAGAAAGGUCAAGGGAAUGUGGCACCUUUCGAGGUGUGUUAUAGCUCUUGGUCGUAUGUGUUGGUUAGGACUGAGGUCAGCAGCGUGCCGCAAGGCCGGGUUUCGACCACGCUCACGCUUAGGAUGUUGGCAUAAUGGCUUUAAGUGACCCGUCUUGAAACACGGACCAAGGAGUCUAACAUGCAUGCAAGUGUUUGGGUGGAAAACUCAUUCGCGUAAUGAAAGUGAAAGUUGAGAACCCUGUCGUGGGGAGCAUCGACGCCCGGACCAGAACUUUUGGGACGGAUCUGCGGUAGAGCAUGUAUGUUGGGACCCGAAAGAUGGUGAACUAUGCCUGAAUAGGGUGAAGCCAGAGGAAACUCUGGUGGAGGCUCGUAGCGAUUCUGACGUGCAAAUCGAUCGUCGAAUUUGGGUAUAGGGCGAAAGACUAAUCGAA
rnacentral:rRNA from 1 species